GGGGAAUCGCCACUCUGAGUAAGCUGCUAUCCUCACAGCCCUCACCGAGGAAGAUCAGGGCUCCCUGGGUCUAUCACCUCAGAAAGACUCCACAGAGGGAAAGCCCAGCCCACACCCUUAUCUGAUCAGAUCCACGGAAAGGGCAAAGCAGUGCAGUGCAGGCAGUUGGGUUGGUUUGCUCUGCAUCCCAGCUGACCUCUUCCCCGUAAGUCUGGAGAAUCUCUGAGCCUGAUUCCUUUCUCCUUUUCUUGUAAACAGGGAGUCAGUGGUUACCACAUGGGCUAGGGCUAAAGACGGAACAUGUUAACCCGUGUCUAGUCUUUUUGGCACAACGUCCGCACCGAGUAAGUCCAUUCUGUCAUGUGAAUACCAAAUGUUUUUCCUAAACAUUUCCGAUUUGGAAACGAGGGCUGUAAUCAUCGUAUCUAGUAGGGGAAAAAACAUGCCGCCACAGAAACGGCCCAGAAAAGUAUUGGCAAGCAUAUCAACGCUGUUUGGCCAGCCCUGAAACCUUGUCCAAACAGAGGCUCUGUGCUGCACAGUUUUAACCUGCCCAGUUCAGGAAAAGCCCCCAAGGCCUGAAGUUGG
rnacentral:lncRNA from 1 species